GACCGCGUGCAUCCCUGGUGCGGAAUAUGGUAGCCCUAAACAGCUGACUGCGCGGGUCUCAUUUGAAUUUCUGGACCGACUUCUUCAGGACCUGAAAUUGUUUCAAUUUAGCUGGAAUUUCGUCAAGUGCGGAAUGUGUAUACCUUUCUCUGGCUUUAUAAAGCAUCGCAUCACCUCUACAAAAGGAUAUUCUAGAAACACCGCCACCAGCGCAGCUACGACUUGAGUAGAAGCUGGAGAUGUAGACCGGUUGUCUAAAAUAUCCCGCCACUGUUCUCAGGACGACAAUGUGCCAGAGAAACGACUGAAAUGAGAUUCUUGCCAAAGGCCGAAACGCUGGCAAUGUGCAGAAAUCGUAGGCAACGCCUGUCGUAAAAUUGUGAGCACAUGAGGACCACGAAUCCUGCGCAUAUAAGCACCCACAAUAUCUUGUGGAUGCCCGCAUACAAGGCUAGCCAUAGCGAUGGCUUCGCAAAGUCCUGUCGAAUGAAGAUGUAGCCGGAGAAAAGGAUUCCCAACGUGGCCAGCACAAGCAGCCACAUGGCCAGAUCGUACUUAAGGUGACCCAGGAGUUCUACUUUUCCAGAACGCUGCUUAAGUAGCGCCCAGCGAAUAUCGGCAGAUCGAAAUGGUUCUUCACGUAGAAAGCAAAGGGAUGGUUGGCAAUGAAGCGUUUGCGAUUGAAGGCAGCCACGCCCAUCACCCGCCAUACUGAGGAGGAACCAUGAAAACGAUGCAGACUUUUAGACAUUUGCUUUUAGACUUUAUUGAGGCCACAUGCUUGACAAGGUAAAAGCUGAAUAUGCUCGACAAGCCAGCAAUAUAGGACUGACCCACCUGCAUGUUAAAUGAAUAAGAGACCCUCGAGUAACAUU